rnacentral:tRNA from 1 species
GCCGAGGUCGCAUAACCUGGUAUCGCGCUGGACUGCUAAUCCAGUUUCCCUUGGGAUAUGUGGGUUCAAAUUUAGUUUACUGCGUCUUUACGUCUGUAUGCUGAUGAACGUCCCACCCUCGGCG